AUGAGGCUUUUGCUGCUUCUCCUGAUGGCGGCGUCCACAGUGGUCUGGAGCGAGGCCUCGGCCAAUCUGGGCGGCGUGCCCAGCAAGAGAUUAAAGAUGCAGUACGCCACGGGCCCGCUGCUGAAAUUCCAGAUUUGUGUUUCCUGAGGGUAUAGGCGGGUGUUUGAGGAGUACAUGCGGGUUAUUAGCCAGCGGUACCCAGACAUCCGCAUUGAAGGAGAAAAUUACCUCCCUCAACCAAUAUAUAGACACAUAGCAUCUUUCUUGUCAGUCUUCAAAUUAGUAUUAAUAGGCUUAAUAAUUGUUGGCAAGGAUCCUUUUGCUUUCUUUGGCAUGCAAGCUCCUAGCAUCUGGCAGUGGGGUCAAGAAAAUAAGGUCUAUGCAUGUAUGAUGGUUUUCUUCUUGAGCAACAUGAUUGAGAACCAGUGUAUGUCCACAGGUGCAUUUGAGAUAACUUUAAAUGAUGUGCCUGUAUGGUCUAAGCUGGAAUCUGGCCACCUUCCAUCCAUGCAACAGCUUGUUCAAAUUCUUGACAAUGAAAUGAAGCUCAAUGUGCAUAUGGAUUCACUCCCACAUCAUCGAUCAUAG